GGGUCAUUAGCUCAGUUGGCAGAGCACCUGACUUUUAAUCAGGGAGUCCGGCGUUCGAGUCGCCGAUGACCCACCA
rnacentral:tRNA from 1 species